GAUCUAAACAAUGGCUCUUCAGAUUGCGAAAAGACUCCUACGAUGCCGCACCGAUUCAGUUGCAUCCUCUGUUAGGUUUUUCGAUCGGACCUUCACUUCCCAAUCCAAUUCCAACUUGAUCCGCGCUACUCUUUUCCCCGGCGAUGGUAUUGGACCUGAGAUCGCCGAGUCCGUCAGGCAGAUAUUCAAGGUUGCUGAGGUACCAAUUGAAUGGGAAGAACACUAUGUGGGGACGGAUAUAGACCCUAGAACCAACAGCUUUCUAACAUGGGAAAGUCUUGAAUCAGUGAGGCGGAAUAAGGUUGGUCUGAAAGGGCCAAUGGCCACUCCUAUUGGAAAAGGUCAUCGUUCCUUGAACCUUACAUUGAGGAAGGAGUUAAAUCUAUAUGCCAAUGUCAGACCUUGCUACAGCCUUCCUGGAUAUAAGACUCGCUAUGAUGAUGUGAAUCUCAUCACUAUUAGAGAGAACACUGAAGGAGAGUACAGUGGUCUUGAACAUCAAGUAGUAAGAGGUGUGGUUGAAAGUCUCAAGAUCAUUACCCGUCAAGCAAGUUUAAGGGUUGCAGAGUAUGCAUUUCACUAUGCCAAGACCCAUGGAAGAGAGAGAGUGUCUGCAAUUCACAAAGCCAACAUCAUGCAAAAGACAGACGGUCUUUUUCUUAAGUGUUGCCGAGAGGUCGCGGAAAAGUACCCUGAUAUAAAGUAUGAGGAAGUUGUCAUUGACAAUUGCUGUAUGAUGCUUGUGAAAAAUCCAGCACUUUUUGAUGUUCUGGUGAUGCCUAACCUUUAUGGUGACAUAAUCAGUGAUCUUUGUGCUGGUUUGAUAGGUGGUUUGGGCUUAACUCCAAGUUGCAAUAUUGGCGAGGGAGGUAUUGCCCUUGCUGAGGCUGUGCAUGGUUCAGCACCUGAUAUUGCUGGAAAGAAUUUGGCGAAUCCAACUGCUUUGCUUUUGAGUUCAGUCUCUAUGCUUCGUCAUCUAGAGCUUCAUGAUAAAGCUGAUCGCAUCCAAGAUGCCAUCCUAAAAACAAUUGCAGAGGGGAAGUACCGAACAGGCGAUCUUGGAGGAACUGCCACAACAACUGAGUUCACCAAUGCCAUCUGCGAUCAUCUUUGAACAUGUGUAUAUACAUAUAGUCGUUUUGAUGUCAAUUUUGAUAGUCUUACAUUAUACAGUAGUUUAAAAUAACGGUAAGGCGGCAAUUGAAGAUCGUGGCCCCUUGCACCGUACCGUCUAUUCAUGUAGUUACAGAAGCUGGUAAGACAAAAGGCAAAAUAUUCACGCAGCCCGUGUUGGUGGCUGUCAUCUUGAUUUUCUUAAUCACCAUUCUGAUUUUGUAACGUUGAGACUUGACAAAAUAUCUGUUG
rnacentral:misc_RNA from 1 species